UAUGCGUUGCCCAAGGGCUUGCUGCAAGUGAGCCUUGAACCAGGACGUUGUGCUGCGAACACCGUCUCCCAAUGGCACAUUUCUCCCUCCAGCCCCCCAGCACAGCGCCAGCCUCGGUCCCCACCUCGUGCACACAUCGGAACAGCUCCCAGUGGAAAGCAGUUAGGUGGUUGGCAACGUCCUCAGGCUCCACUCGGUGGAUCUCCGUGUCUCCAGGGGAGACCUGGAUCUCCUCGGGGAGGGGCACCUGGUGGCAGGCAGGGGUAUAGGAGCUGGGCUCCUGGUGGCAGGAUGAGAGAUUGCUCACAGCCCCCCUCAGCCCCUCCAUUCCAGCCAAGGCCUUGGGAAGUUCUUACCAGAGCCUCAUAGCUGUCCCGAGUACAGGCAAACAGGUGGCUGUUGAUGCCCAGUGUGGUGAAAACACAGUCCUCAGUGGGCUGGAGAAGGACCUUCUCUGCAGGAGAAAGAGCUGCUCAUCCUCAGCCCCUGCUGCCUGGACCCUCACACACACCCCACACUUGGCUCUGUCCUAUCCAAAAACUCCUCACCCCACACUGACACAUUAUAGACGAAUGGAACUCAUAUUAUCACCAGUUUAUGCCAUAUUUAUCUGGAAUUGGUCAAAUGAUGAUUUCUUUUGCAUUUAUAACUUUUUUCUAUUCCCUUUCUUUCACAGCUUUUCUCUUACUCUGUUGUCCUUGUGACACCGGGAAGGCUGAAAUGUUUUCCUACCGUAGAGGAAAACAAAGCUUCAGCGACAUUGCUGGCUUUCUGCCUUCCCACUCAUCCUGUGUCUUUAGCCUGAGAAAUGUGGCAUCCUUACAUACACCGGGAGGUUAAAGGACCAGAACACAAUCCAUAGGGCACUGAGCUUGUGAGUUUCUCCUCUCGGAGCAUCAGCCCAGUUCUUCCUGACCCUCACCUCCUGAGGAGGCCACAGCUACCAGGAUGAGGGAAUCCUCACGCCCCGCGGGCUCCUCUGAAUAUUGAAGUUUCUCCGUCACAGAACCCAGAAUGUCCUGCACAGAUGCUGAAAGGCGGCUGCGUAUGGUCACGUAAGAGUGGUCAGGCAUGUAUACGCGGCAGAAGACUGGACGGAAACAGGAAAAUGGCUUUCAACAGAGGGCGGAGUGGCAGCAGCUGGAACAGUUUCCUCCAGGGUGCCACUGUUCCCCACCUCUGAAGAAGGUCCUGUGAAAGGGGCUGGUUCUACCACCCAGAUACCACUGAGGGUGCCCAAGACCCAGAGACAUGUCCGCCUGAACCACUCAGGACACCCUGCCCCUCCUAAUGCCCACACUCACUCUCAUCAGAGCCCCGGAAGGCCACGCGGGUCUGCAGACAGGAGUCUAUCCGGCGGAAGUGGCGGAAGAGUGGCUUCACCUGCUUGCUGGGUGGCUGACUCUCCUCUGGAAUCCUGGCAUGGACACAGCUGGGCAUCAGCACGCCCUGCCAGGCAUAUGGACAACCAACACCAAGCAGGCAACAUCAAGCAAGAAUAUCAGAAUUGGGUCAAGGAUGUACCAGCAACAGUUUCAGAAGGUGGUUAAGGGGGUCAGAAGAGAGGACAAUGAGCAGGAUGGGAUAAUUGUCCAAGUAAUCCUAAUCAAAUGCCACCUUUUCCAUGAAUUCUUCUCUGGUCCACCCCACCCACCAGGAAGGUCACUUUCUUGUCUCAACUACUAUAGAACAUUGGGAUAAUGUUUAUGUUCA